ACUCAAAGGAAUUGACGGGGGCCCGCACAAGCGGUGGAUUAUGUGGUUUAAUUCGAAGCAACGCGCAGAACCUUACCUAGGCUUGACAUCCCACGACAAACGUAGAAAUACGUCUUUGUAGCAAUACACGUGGAGACAGGUGCUGCAUGGCUGUCGUCAGCUCGUGUUGUGAAAUGUUGGGUUAAGUCCCGCAACGAGCGCAACCCCUGGAUUUAGUUGCCAGCAUUAAGUUGGGCACUCUAAAUUAACUGCCAGCGUUAAGCUGGAGGAAGGUGGGGAUGACGUCAAGUCCUCAUGGCCCUUACGCCUAGGGCUACACACGUAAUACAAUGGAUAGGACAAAGGGUCGCGAACCUGCAAGGGGGAGCUAAUCUCAAAAACCUAUCCUCAGUUCGGAUUGGGGGCUGCAAUUCGCCCCCAUGAAGGCGGAAUCGCUAGUAAUCGUGGAUCAGAACGCCACGGUGAAUACGUUCCCGGGCCUUGUACACACCGCCCGU
rnacentral:rRNA from 1 species